rnacentral:rRNA from 1 species
GACGAACGCUGGCGGCGUGCUUAACACAUGCAAGUCGAACGGAAAGGCCCUUUCGGGGGUGCUCGAGUGGCGAACGGGUGAGUAACACGUGGGUGAUCUGCCCUGCACUUUGGGAUAAGCCUGGGAAACUGGGUCUAAUACCGGAUAGGACCGCAUGCUUCAUGGUGUGUGGUGGAAAGCUUUUGCGGUGUGGGAUGGGCCCGCGGCCUAUCAGCUUGUUGGUGGGGUAAUGGCCUACCAAGGCGACGACGGGUAGCCGGCCUGAGAGGGUGUCCGGCCACACUGGGACUGAGAUACGGCCCAGACUCCUACGGGAGGCAGCAGUGGGGAAUAUUGCACAAUGGGCGCAAGCCUGAUGCAGCGACGCCGCGUGGGGGAUGACGGCCUUCGGGUUGUAAACCUCUUUCAGUAUCGGCGAAGCUCCGGGAUUUUUCUUGGGGUGACGGUAGGUACAGAAGAAGCACCGGCCAACUACGUGC